rnacentral:rRNA from 1 species
ACUCAAAGGAAUUGACGGGGACCCGCACAAGCGGUGGAGCAUGUGGUUUAAUUCGAAGAUACACGAAGAACCUUACCUGGGCUUGAUAUCCUAAGAAUCCUGUAGAGAUACGGGAGUGCUAGUUUACUAGAACUUAGAGACAGGUGCUGCACGGCUGUCGUCAGCUCGUGUCGUGAGAUGUUGGGUUAAGUCCCGCAACGAGCGCAACCCUCGUGAUUAGUUGCUAACAGUUCGGCUGAGCACUCUAAUCAGACUGCCUUCGUAAGGAGGAGGAAGGUGAGGACGACGUCAAGUCAUCAUGGCCCUUAUGCCCAGGGCUACACACGUGCUACAAUGGCUAGGACAAAGAGACGCGAUACCGCGAGGUGGAGCAAAUCUUAAAACCUAGUCUCAGUUCGGAUUGAAGUCUGCAACUCGACUUCAUGAAGCUGGAAUCGCUAGUAAUCGUAGAUCAGAUAUGCUACGGUGAAUACGUUCCCGGGUCUUGUACACACCGCCCGU